AUUGAACGCUGGCGGCAUGGUUAAAACAUGCAAGUCGAACGAUCCCUUCGGGGAGAGUGGCGAAAGGGCGAGUAAUGCGAUCGUACGUACCCCAAGGUGGGGGAUAGCCUCUGGAAACGGAGGGUAAUACCCCAUGUGCUCUACGGAGGAAAGGUUUACCGCCUUGGGAGCAGCGAUUCUCCUAUCAGGUAGUUGGUGAGGUAAUGGCUCACCAAGCCGAAGACGGGUAGCGGGUGUGAGAGCAUGACCCGCCGCAUCGGGACUGAGACACUGCCCGGACUCCUACGGGAGGCUGCAGCGACGAAUCUUCCGCAAUGGGCGCAAGCCUGACGGAGCAAUGCCGCGUGUGGGACGAAGCGUCUUCGACGUGUAAACCACUGUCAGAAUCUAGGAACACUGACCAGAUUCAAAGGAAGGGCCGGCUAACCUCGUGCCAGCAGCCGCGGUAAUG
rnacentral:rRNA from 1 species